CCUCCUCCUAACUUCAGAAGCGGGUUUAAUUAAACUCUUUAUGGCUAAAUUACUUUUUUGCAGCAACGGGAUUCAUUUUGUGUUCUGCUUGCACCGAAGAUUCAGGAAAUGUCUUCUUAACAGAGAUCAAAGCACCUCCUCUCCCAUGGCGACUCGCUACCCCUCAGCAAUGACUUUGCCUCACCUGUCUGUGAAUGCCCCGUCUUUGACAUCACACGGUGGAUCCUACCUCCUGGCAGCGGUCCAGAGGAGAAAAAAGUUCCUCGCUGGUCCCCUCUCUUCCGUAUUAGUUUCCAAAAAGGCAUCUCUAAUGCUGCCAGGGAGCGCCGCGCUGUGAGGCAGCGAGAAACGCGAGGCGAGCGGAUUGCUAUCUUUGUGACAGCUUUUCCGCUUGGCAGGGCUGCGUGUGAGCCGGGGAACUGGACUGGACUGUGGUGU